rnacentral:rRNA from 1 species
UACGUAGGGUGCAAGCGUUGUCCGGAAUUAUUGGGCGUAAAGGGCUCGUAGGCGGUUUGUCGCGUCGGGAGUGAAAUCCACUGGCUUAACUGGUGGCUUGCUUUCGAUACGGGCAGACUGGAGGUAUGCAGGGGAGAACGGAAUUCCUGGUGUAGCGGUGAAAUGCGCAGAUAUCAGGAGGAACACCGGUGGCGAAGGCGGUUCUCUGGGAAUAUCCUGACGCUGAGGAGCGAAAGUGUGGGGAGCGAACAGG